rnacentral:tRNA from 1 species
GGGCUCGUGGAGGUAAAGGUAACCCCAUUCGUCUUGACACCGAAAAUUACGGGUUCGAGUCCCGUCGAGUCCA